AUAAUACUCCCUCCGUCCCAUAUUAAGUGACUUUCUAUUACAUGUAUCUAGACGCUUUUUAGGCAUAUAUACAUUCAUAUUUGGACAAAUUUGAGUCACUUAAUAUGGGACGGAGGGAGUAGUUA
rfam:Brachypodium distachyon strain Bd21 chromosome 5, whole genome shotgun sequence.